rnacentral:rRNA from 1 species
CCGCAAGGGCAACCGGCGAACGGGUGCGUAACACGUGAGCAACCUGCCGAAUGCGUGGGGGAUAGCCGGCCCAACGGCCGGGUAAUACCGCAUACGUUCUCUCUGGGGAGUCCUGGGGAGAGGAAAGCUGUCGGGUAACCGAUGGCGCGCGUCGAGGGGCUCGCGGCUUAUCAGCUAGUUGGCGGGGUAACGGCCCACCAAGGCGACGACGAGUAGCUGGUCUGAGAGGAUGGCCAGCCACAUUGGGACUGAGAGACGGCCCAGACUCCUACGGGAGGCAGCAGUGGGGAAUCUUGCGCAAUGGCCGAAAGGCUGACGCAGCGACGCCGCGUGGGGGAUGACGCAUUUCGGUGUGUAAACCCCUGUUGCCCGGGACGAACACCUCCUUUGGGGGAGGCUGACGGUACCGGGUGAGGAAGCACCGGCUAACUCCGUGCCAGCAGCCGCGGUAAUACGGAGGGUGCGAGCGUUGUCCGGAAUCACUGGGCGUAAAGGGCGCGUAGGUGGCUACUUAAGCGUGUGGUGAAAGUCCGGGGCUCAACCCCGGAUCGGCCGUGCGAACUGAGUGGCUCGAGCACUGUAGAGGCAGGUGGAAUUCCGGGUGUAGCGGUGGAAUGCGUAGAGAUCCGGAAGAACACCGGUGGCGAAGGCGACCUGCUGGGCAGUGGCUGACACUGAGGCGCGACAGCGUGGGGAGCAAACAGGA